AUGAACGCUGGCGGCGUGCCUAACACAUGCACGUCGAGCGGCAGCGAGGGGUGCUUGCACCCUGUCGGCGAGCGGCGGACGGCUGAGUAGCGCGUGGGACCGUGCCCCAAAGUGAGGAAUAACUGCCCGAAAGGGUAGCUAAUACCGCAUAUUAUCUUCGGAUCAAAGGAUUUAUCCGCUUUGGGAGCGGCUCGCGUCGGAUUAGGUAGUUGGUGAGGUAAUGGCUCACCAAGCCGACGAUCCGUAGCUGGUCUGAGAGGAUGACCAGCCAGACUGGAACUGAGACACGGUCCAGACUCCUACGGGAGGCAGCAGUGAGGAAUCUUCCACAAUGGGCGAAAGCCUGAUGGAGCAACGCCGCGUGCAGGACGAAGGCCUUCGGGUUGUAAACUGCUUUUAUAAGUGAGGAAUAUGACGGUAACUUAUGAAUAAGGAUCGGCUAACUACGUG
rnacentral:rRNA from 1 species